GUGCUCUCUUCAAUAGCACAUAUGCUAAAAUUGGAAUGAUACAGCGAUUAGCUUGGCUUCUGCCCUAGGAUGACAUAAAGUUCGUGAAGUAUAGCAUAUAUUU